rnacentral:rRNA from 1 species
CCCUUAGAUGUUCUGGGCCGCACGCGUGCUACACUGAUGCAUUCAACGAGUCUAAAACCUGGUCUGAUAGGGCUGGGUAAUCUUUUGAAAGUGCAUCGUGAUUGGGAUAGAUGAUUGCAAUUCUUCAUCUUCAACGAGGAAUGCCUAGUAAACGCAAGUCAUCAGCUUGCAUUGAUUACGUCCCUGCCCUUUGUACACACCGCCCGUCGCUCCUACCGAUUGAGCGGUCCGGUGAAGACUCAAGAGAUAUGUAGGCGCUCGGGUGACCGAACGCGUUGCGUGUCAAAUUUGUCUAAACCUUAUCGCUUAGAGGAAGGAGAAGUCGUAACA